CUGACAGGACUUAGAGGUUCCAAACUGGUCCCCACGGACCAAAAGUAUAGGAGCGAAGCGACUAUACUUGUUAUAUAGGAGCGUCUGCGACUAUAUUAUGCACGCGACCUCGGGUCCGAAAAAUCGUGUUUUUUUGGAAAUAAAAAUUCAUAUCUUUGGCUGUAUGGCUAGCGAAACGAUGAAAUUUGGCAUAGGGUCUCUCAAUACAUUGGGAAUGAUGGAUCCGUAAACGAAUUUUUUUUCCGGUACCACCAAACGGAGUGGUACUGUCUCAAAGUCAAAAAUUCGUAAAAAAACCGGUCAAAAUUCAUUUUUGCACGAGAUCUCAAUUUUAACGCUGUCAAAAAAAUUGAAAUUUUUAGGCAUAAAAGACUUUAUAGUAAUUCAUGUCUGUAUACUUUUUGGGCCCGAUCGGUAUACAGGGUGAGUUGUUAUAAGCGAACAAAAGUGACUAAAAAAAAAAUUCAAACUUCUCCAGAGGCUAAAAAAAAAUUUUUAUAAAAAAAGUGUUUCGGCGAAAAGACUUCGUUUUAUAAGAGAUUUAACAUACUUGGAGCUUUUUUUUGUAAAAAAUUUAUUUUACGAGUUCUGGCAUUUUCAGUUUUUUGGGAUUUUCCGCCAAACGAUACUUAUUUUGGGAAAAAUUUUUUUUUCAAAAAAUAACUUCAUCCUUUACCUUUCAUAUGCCAUAUAAUCGAAAUUUUUGGGAACCAUACAGGGCGAGCAAUAAUGAACUUUACCCAUGAAGGUCCGACCCGAAAAUCACAUUUUAUUUAAUAACUUUUUCGUAGUGGCAUCUGGACCAUUUAUAUUCUCAGGCAUUAAAUACUUUAAUAACCCCAGUAUUUGUGUAAAAUUACAAUCUUCCAACUUUAAUAGGUUCUGAGCAAUUCGAAUUUUUGCGUUUAAUUCAUUUGCCGCGUCCCUGUACAUGGUGAAAGGAUCAAACAACAUCUAAAGGAUCCGAAAUUUUGUUUUACAACACAUACUAAAAUUUCAGGAUUCCAGCGAUAGUACAAGUACCCGAAAAAUGCGAUUUUAUGAAAAAAGUCCAUUUUUUUGCGUUUUUGCAGGUAAUUGGAGGUGUCAACCUAAACUCUGAUGAAAUGGCUAGUGGGAACAAUACUUUGACGCAUGGUGGAUACAAAUUUUUUGCUCGUGACAGGUGGCCGGGACUUGGUCGGGUUUUUUGUAAAAUUAUGAAUGAAAAUGAACCGGAAACGAUCAGGGAAAGGAAGCACCGAAUCAGAAAAUGAAUGGGCUUUCCGAAUCUGUGCAUAUCAAUUGGGGAAAUUGUGUAUUGCGGCCAGGAAAAUUCGGCAAACAUUUUGACGUCUUCGAAAAAUGCCGUUUUUUUGAAAUGUCAGUGGUUUUAUACCGGGGUGAGACGAAAUGAAAUUUGCCCGAUUAUUUUAUUAAAAUUAUUUGAAUAUAUACACGGGUCAGUCGUAAUGAUCUAUUUAAUUUAAAAUAAAAAUUUAGAUAUUAGGUGAGUUUUUACUAUUUAGUUUAUUAUUAAUAUAUGUUAAUAAUUCUUAAACAUUGCUUUUGGGAUAUAAAUAAAAAUUUUUUGAAAUUAUUGAUUUUUAAGGUUAGUCGAGUAUCAUAACUUUUUUGGUAUUGGUGCGAUUUGGUUGAAAUUUGGUACCUAGUACCUAUUUCGGAUAAGAUUAAUAAAUUUUUACAGAUAUUUGACAUGACUAUGUUUUAAGGUCACGUGACUACCUUAACUUUCUUCCUAUUUGUCCGAUUUGAUUGAAAUUUGGUAUUUGGGGUUUAUUUAGGAUGCAAUUAUUAAUUUUUCACAGAUAUUUGACAUUUGACUUCCAGGUCACGUGACUAUUGGUACUUUUUUGCUAUGAGUCCGAUUGGGUUCAAAUUUGGUAUUUGGGCUUUAUUUAGGAUGCAAUUAUUAAUUUUUGACAGAUAUUUGACAUUUGACUUCCGGGUCACGUGACUAUUGUAACUUUUUUGCUAUGAGUCCGAUUGGGUUCAAAUUUGGUAUUUAUGCUUUAUUUAGGAUACAAUUAAUAAAUUUUAACAGAUAAUUGACAUAUUGAAUGUUUAAGUCACGUGACUUCCAUAACUUAUUUGCUAUUGUUCCGAUUGGGUUGAAAUUUAGUAUUUGGGCUUUAUUUAGGAUGCAAGUAAUAAAUUUUGACAGAAAUUUGACAUGUUGAAUUUUUUAAGUCACGUGACUUCCAUAACUUUUUUGCUAUUGAUCCGAUUGGGUUGAAAUUUAGUAUUUGGGCUUUAUUUAGGAUGCAAGUAAUAAAUUUUGACAGAAAUUUGACAUGUUGAAUUUUUUAAGUCACGUGACUUCCAUAACUUUUUUGCUAUUGAUCCGAUUGGGUUCAAAUUUGGAAUUUGGGGUUUAUUUAGGAUGCAAUUGUUGAUUUUUUACAAAAUUUUAAAAUAUUAAGUUCUAGGGUCACGUGACUAUCAAAAUUUCCUAUUUGAUUAAAAUCUGCUAUUAGAUGAUAUGUAUAUAUUUAUAGAUAAUAUUUCGUAUUACCCUAUUCCUUUUAUCUUAAUUAGUUAAAUUAUUUCUUAAAUUUGCCUUUCAAAAAAAAAUAAAAAAAUCAUCGGUUCGAAUACAUAGGCUUUAAAGGGAACUUAUCUUCUUUCAUAAUAUUGUAGCAUUAUUAUAGAUUUUGAAAAUUUUUGUCAUUAAGCUUUUUCAUUACUUUUUGAAUGGUCUUUAGCCAGAAAAAAGAAAUUUUGAAUUUGGAGCAUGUUUUGAAAAAAUUUUCAUUUUGGGCCGGAUUUUGUUCGAAAAUCGAAAAAUGCAAAGAAAUAGGUUUUCUGUUCAUUUUAGAGUCAAAUCGAUAAUAAUCUUUUUGAAAGGUAUCCUAAAGUAGUACAAGAUAGAAAAAUAAAAAAAUGAAAUCUUUCCAUAGGGCUCUUGAUAAUUCGAUAUUUAUGAUUUAUAGUUUUUUACAAUUUUCUCCGAAUCUGUGAUAGCUGUAAUCAAUUAGUUUUAACAUUCGAAUACCUCGUAAUAUUCCCUAGAACUUUUGUUUAAGACAAAAAGUUGUCAGAGUUAUAGUUUAGUUAGAAAAAAAUAAAAACCAUUUAAUCACAAUUUUUCAUGGCUAUACCCCUUUCGAUUUUGGAGCAAAAAAAAAAUUUUUUUUCUUGGGUUUUUUUUAAUGGAUAUUGCCAACUUAGGGCUUACAUUAUAAUUUGUCAGUUAUCAUUUUAAGAAAAAAAAUGCUACCGUGGAAAAAAACGAGUUUUCUUUUAUUUUUUUUUCACAGUUUUACUAAUAUCUCGACUUCUAGAGCUUCGAUUCAAUUUGUUGAUGGUUUUUAUUAUUCCUUAUUCUCCUCCUGUUAAUUCUUUUUAUAUUUUAUUACAACUGCCUUUCGAAAUAAAACUGAAAAAUUAAAAAAAUCGACGUAAAAGCCCGGUUGUCUUAUCCCUGUACAUAGGCUCUUAUGGAACCUAAUUUUUCCCUUUAUAUUAUGGCACUCGUAUAAAUCGUGGAAAAUUUUGUCAUAAAGCUUUUUUAUUAGUUUUUAAAUGGUCUUUAACCAGAAAAAAGAAAUUUUGAAUUCGGAGCAUAUUUUGGAAAAAUGGUCAUUUUGACCCCGGAUUUUGUUCGAAAAUCGAAAAAUGCAAAGAAAUAGGUUUUCCGUUCAUUUUAGAGUCAAAUUGGUAAUAAUCUUUUUUAAAGAUACUCUGAAGUAGUACAGGAUAGAAAAAUAAAAAACUGAAAUUUUUCCAUAGGGCUCUUGAUAAUUCGAUAUUUAUGUUUAAUAGUUUUUUUCAAUUUUCUCCGACUGUAUAAUAGCUAGAACCGAUUCGUUUUAACGCACGGAUACCUCGUAAUAUUCCCGAAAACUUUUGUUUAAGACAAAAAGUUGUCAGAGUUAUAUUUUAUUUAAAAAAAAAUAAAAACCAUUUUUUCGCAAUUUUUCAUGGUUAUACCCCUUUCGAUUUUCGACCAAAAAAAAAUUUUUUUUUUCUUGGGUUUUUUUUACGUGAAAUUGCCAACUUAGGGCUUACAUUAUAAUUUGUCAAUAAUUAUUUUAAGAAAAAAAAAUGAUACCGUGGGAAAAAACCAGUUUUCUUUUGUUUUUUCCCACAUUUUUACUAAUCUCUCGGCUUCUAUAGCUUCGAUUCAAUUCAUUGAUGGUUUCUUUUAUUUCUUAUUCUCCUCCUCUCAAUUCUUUUGAUAUUUUAUUACUAUUACAUUUCAAAAUAAAAAGAAAAAUUAAAACAAAUCGACGUAAAAUCCCUGUUUGUUCUAUUUCAAGAAAUAGACCCUUAUGGGAACUUCUCUCUGAAUUUGGUAUUUAUGGUUUAUUUAGGAUACAACUAAUAAAUUAUGACAGAUAACUGACAUUUAAGUUUCAGCCUAGGUCACGUGACUACCGUAACUUUUUUGCUAUUGGUCCGAUUCUGUUCGAAUUUGGUAUUCAGACUUUAUUUAGAAUACAAUUAAUAUACUUUCACAGAUAUUUGAAAUAUAAGACAGUAUAUUGACACACAACGCGACUAUAUAACAAAUUAUGGUUCUUUGAAGCAUGAUACCCCAACAACUGGUCCUCUCUUUCCUUGGCAGGUAAACGUUAGCCUCCCCGACUCACCUAAGUACACCUGAUAGUUUUUGAUUUUUUUUUUAUUACCUUAUGGCUUUUCACAGACAAGACCUAAAGGUUUCAAACUGGUCCCCACGGACCAAAAGUAUAGGAGCGAAGCGACUAUACUUGUUAUAUAGGAGCGUCUGCGACUAUAUUAUGCACGCGGGCCCGGGUCCGAAAAAUCGUGUUUUUUUGGAAAUAAAAAUUCAUAUCUUUGGCUGUAUGGCUAGCGAAACGAUGAAAUUUGGCAUAGGGUCUCUCAAUACAUUGGGAAUGAUGGAUCCGUAAACGAAUUUUUUUUCCGGUACCACCAAACGGAGCGGUACUGUCUCAAAUUCAAAAAUUCGUAAAAAAAUUGGUAAAAAUCGAGUUGCUCACGAGAUCUCAAUUUUAAAGCGUUCAAUCGAGUUGAAAUUUUCAGGAUAUAUGGGUUCUUGGGGCUUACGUGUCUGUAUACUUUUUGAGCCCGAUCGGUAUACAGGGUGAGUUGUUAUAAGCGAACAAAAGUGACUAAAAAAAAAAUUCAAACUUCUCCAGAGGCUAAAAAAAAAUUUUUAUAAAAAAAGUGUUUCGGCGAAAAGACUUCAUUUUAUAAGAGAUUUAACAUACUUGGAGCUUUUUUUUGUAAAAAAUUUAUUUUACGAGUUCUGGCAUUUUCAGUUUUUUGGGAUUUUCCGCCAAACGAUACUUAUUUUGGGAAAAUUUUUUUUUUCAAAAAAUAACUUCAUCUUUUACCUUUUAUAUGCCAUAUAACCGAAAUUUUUGGGAACCAUACAGGGCGAGCAAUAAUGAACUUUACCCAUGAAGGUCCGACCCGAAAAUCACAUUUUAUUUAAUAACUUUUUCGUAGUAGCAUCUGGACCAUUUAUAUUCUCAGGCAUUAAAUACUUUAAUAACCCCAAUAUUUAUGUAAAAUUACAAUCUUCCAACAUUAAUAGGUUCUGAGCAAUUCGAAUUUUCGCGUUUAAUUCAUUUGCCACGUCCCUGUACAUGGUGAAAAGAUCAGACAUCAUCUAAAAGAUCCGAAAUUUUGUUUUACAACACAUACUAAAAUUUCAGGGUUCCAGCGAUAGUACAAGUACCCGAAAAAUGCGAUUUUAUGAAAAAAGUCCAUUUUUUUGCGUUUUUGCAGGUAAUUGGAGGUGUCAACCUAAACUCUGAUGAAAUGGCUGGUGGGAACAAUACUUUGACGCAUGGUGGAUACAAAUUUUUUGCUCGUGACAGGUGGCCGGGACUUGGUUGGGUUUUUUGUAAAAUUAUGAAUGAAAAUGAACCGGAAACGAUCAGGGAAAGGAAGCACCGAAUCAGAAAAUGAAUGGGCUUUCCGAAUCUGUGCAUAUCAAUAGGGGAAAUUGUGUAUUGCGGCCAGGAAAAUUCGGCAAACAUUUUGACGUCUUCGAAAAAUGCCGUUUUUUUGAAAUGUCAGUGUCUUUAUACCGGGGUGAGACGAAAUGAAAUUUGCCCGAUUAUUUUAUUAAAAUUAUUCGAAUAUAUACACGGGUCAGUCGUAAUGAUCUAUUUAAUUUAAAAUAAAAAUUUAGAUAUUAGGUGAGUUUUUACUAUUUAGUUUAUUAUUAAUAUAUGCUAAUAAUUCUUAAACAUUGCUUUUGGGAUAUAAAUAAAAUUUUUUUGAAAUUAUUGAUUUUUAAGGUUAGUCGAGUAUCAUAACUUUUUUGGUAUUGGUGCGAUUUGGUUGAAAUUUGGUACCUAGUACCUAUUUCGGAUAAGAUUAAUAAAUUUUUACAGAUAUUUGACAUGACUAUGUUUUAAGGUCACGUGACUACCUUAACUUUCUUCCUAUUUGUCCGAUUUGAUUGAAAUUUGGUAUUUGGGGUUUAUUUAGGAUGCAAUUAUUAAUUUUUCACAGAUAUUUGACAUUUGACUUCCAGGUCACGUGACUAUUGUAACUUUUUUGCUAUGAGUCCGAUUGGGUUCAAAUUUGGUAUUUAUGCUUUAUUUAGGAUACAAUUAAUAAAUUUUAACAGAUAAUUGACAUAUUGAAUGUUUAAGUCACGUGACUUCCAUAACUUAUUUGCUAUUGUUCCGAUUGGGUUGAAAUUUAGUAUUUGGGCUUUAUUUAGGAUGCAAGUAAUAAAUUUUGACAGAAAUUUGACAUGUUGAAUUUUUUAAGUCACGUGACUUCCAUAACUUUUUUGCUAUUGAUCCGAUUGGGUUGAAAUUUAGUAUUUGGGCUUUAUUUAGGAUGCAAGUAAUAAAUUUUGACAGAAAUUUGACAUGUUGAAUUUUUUAAGUCACGUGACUUCCAUAACUUUUUUGCUAUUGAUCCGAUUGGGUUCAAAUUUGGAAUUUGGGGUUUAUUUAGGAUGCAAUUGUUGAUUUUUUACAAAAUUUUAAAAUAUUAAGUUCUAGGGUCACGUGACUAUCAAAAUUUCCUAUUUGAUUAAAAUCUGCUAUUAGAUGAUAUGUAUAUAUUUAUAGAUAAUAUUUCGUAUUACCCUAUUCCUUUUAUCUUAAUUAGUUAAAUUAUUUCUUAAAUUUGCCUUUCAAAAAAAAAUAAAAAAAUCAUCGGUUCGAAUACAUAGGCUUUAAAGGGAACUUAUCUUCUUUCAUAAUAUUGUAGCAUUAUUAUAGAUUUUGAAAAUUUUUGUCAUUAAGCUUUUUCAUUACUUUUUGAAUGGUCUUUAGCCAGAAAAAAGAAAUUUUGAAUUUGGAGCAUGUUUUGAAAAAAUUUUCAUUUUGGGCCGGAUUUUGUUCGAAAAUCGAAAAAUGCAAAGAAAUAGGUUUUCUGUUCAUUUUAGAGUCAAAUCGAUAAUAAUCUUUUUGAAAGGUAUCCUAAAGUAGUACAAGAUAGAAAAAUAAAAAAAUGAAAUCUUUCCAUAGGGCUCUUGAUAAUUCGAUAUUUAUGAUUUAUAGUUUUUUACAAUUUUCUCCGAAUCUGUGAUAGCUGUAAUCAAUUAGUUUUAACAUUCGAAUACCUCGUAAUAUUCCCUAGAACUUUUGUUUAAGACAAAAAGUUGUCAGAGUUAUAGUUUAGUUAGAAAAAAAUAAAAACCAUUUAAUCACAAUUUUUCAUGGCUAUACCCCUUUCGAUUUUGGAGCAAAAAAAAAAUUUUUUUUCUUGGGUUUUUUUUAAUGGAUAUUGCCAACUUAGGGCUUACAUUAUAAUUUGUCAGUUAUCAUUUUAAGAAAAAAAAUGCUACCGUGGAAAAAAACGAGUUUUCUUUUAUUUUUUUUUCACAGUUUUACUAAUAUCUCGACUUCUAGAGCUUCGAUUCAAUUUGUUGAUGGUUUUUAUUAUUCCUUAUUCUCCUCCUGUUAAUUCUUUUUAUAUUUUAUUACAACUGCCUUUCGAAAUAAAACUGAAAAAUUAAAAAAAUCGACGUAAAAGCCCGGUUGUCUUAUCCCUGUACAUAGGCUCUUAUGGAACCUAAUUUUUCCCUUUAUAUUAUGGCACUCGUAUAAAUCGUGGAAAAUUUUGUCAUAAAGCUUUUUUAUUAGUUUUUAAAUGGUCUUUAACCAGAAAAAAGAAAUUUUGAAUUCGGAGCAUAUUUUGGAAAAAUGGUCAUUUUGACCCCGGAUUUUGUUCGAAAAUCGAAAAAUGCAAAGAAAUAGGUUUUCCGUUCAUUUUAGAGUCAAAUUGGUAAUAAUCUUUUUUAAAGAUACUCUGAAGUAGUACAGGAUAGAAAAAUAAAAAACUGAAAUUUUUCCAUAGGGCUCUUGAUAAUUCGAUAUUUAUGUUUAAUAGUUUUUUUCAAUUUUCUCCGACUGUAUAAUAGCUAGAACCGAUUCGUUUUAACGCACGGAUACCUCGUAAUAUUCCCGAAAACUUUUGUUUAAGACAAAAAGUUGUCAGAGUUAUAUUUUAUUUAAAAAAAAAUAAAAACCAUUUUUUCGCAAUUUUUCAUGGUUAUACCCCUUUCGAUUUUCGACCAAAAAAAAAUUUUUUUUUUCUUGGGUUUUUUUUACGUGAAAUUGCCAACUUAGGGCUUACAUUAUAAUUUGUCAAUAAUUAUUUUAAGAAAAAAAAAUGAUACCGUGGGAAAAAACCAGUUUUCUUUUGUUUUUUCCCACAUUUUUACUAAUCUCUCGGCUUCUAUAGCUUCGAUUCAAUUCAUUGAUGGUUUCUUUUAUUUCUUAUUCUCCUCCUCUCAAUUCUUUUGAUAUUUUAUUACUAUUACAUUUCAAAAUAAAAAGAAAAAUUAAAACAAAUCGACGUAAAAUCCCUGUUUGUUCUAUUUCAAGAAAUAGACCCUUAUGGGAACUUCUCUCUGAAUUUGGUAUUUAUGGUUUAUUUAGGAUACAACUAAUAAAUUAUGACAGAUAACUGACAUUUAAGUUUCAGCCUAGGUCACGUGACUACCGUAACUUUUUUGCUAUUGGUCCGAUUCUGUUCGAAUUUGGUAUUCAGACUUUAUUUAGAAUACAAUUAAUAUACUUUCACAGAUAUUUGAAAUAUAAGACAGUAUAUUGACACACAACGCGACUAUAUAACAAAUUAUGGUUCUUUGAAGCAUGAUACCCCAACAACUGGUCCUCUCUUUCCUUGGCAGGUAAACGUUAGCCUCCCCGACUCACCUAAGUACACCUGAUAGUUUUUGAUUUUUUUUUUAUUACCUUAUGGCUUUUCACAGACAAGACCUAAAGGUUUCAAACUGGUCCCCACGGACCAAAAGUAUAGGAGCGAAGCGACUAUACUUGUUAUAUAGGAGCGUCUGCGACUAUAUUAUGCACGCGGGCCCGGGUCCGAAAAAUCGUGUUUUUUUGGAAAUAAAAAUUCAUAUCUUUGGCUGUAUGGCUAGCGAAACGAUGAAAUUUGGCAUAGGGUCUCUCAAUACAUUGGGAAUGAUGGAUCCGUAAACGAUUUUUUUUUCGGGUACCACCAAACGGAGCGGUACUGUCUCAAAGUCAAAAAUUCGUAAAAAAAUUGGUAAAAAUCGAGUUGCUCACGAGAUCUCAAUUUUAAAGCGUUUAAUCGAGCUGAAAUUUUCAGGAUAUAUGGGUUCUUGGGGCUUACGUGUCUGUAUACUUUUUGGGCCCGAUCGGUAUACAGGGUGAGUUGUUAUAAGCGAACAAAAGUGACUAAAAAAAAAAUGUAAACUUCUCCAGAGGCUAAAAAAAAAUUUUUAUAAAAAAAGUGUUUCGGCGAAAAGACUUCGUUUUAUAAGAGAUUUAACAUACUUGGAGCUUUUUUUUGUAAAAAAUUUAUUUUACGAGUUCUGGCAUUUUCAGUUUUUUGGGAUUUCCCGCCAAACGAUACUUAUUUUGAGAAAAUUUUUUUUUUCAAAAAAUAACUUCAUCCUUUACCUUUCAUAUGCCAUAUAACCGAAAUUUUUGGGAACCAUACAGGGCGAGCAAUAAUGAACUUUACCCAUGAAGGUCCGACCUGAAAAUCACAUUUUAUUUAAUAACUUUUUAGUGGUGGCACCUGGACCAUUUAUAUUCUCAGGGAUUAAAUACUUUAAUAACCCCAAUAUUUAUGUAAAAUUACAAUCUUCCAACAUUAAUAGGUUCUGAGCAAUUCGAAUUUUCGCGUUUAAUUCAUUUGCCACGUCCCUGUACAUGGUGAAAAGAUCAAACAACAUCUAAAGGAUCCAAAAUUUUGUUUUACAACACAUACUAAAAUUUCAGGGUUCCAGCGAUAGUACAAGUACCCGAAAAAUGCGAUUUUAUGAAAAAAGUCCAUUUUUUUGCGUUUUUGCAGGUAAUUGGAGGUGUCAACCUAAACUCUGAUGAAAUGGCUGGUGGGAACAAUACUUUGACGCAUGGUGGAUACAAAUUUUUUGCUCGUGACAGGUGGCCGGGACUUGGUCGGGUUUUUUGUAAAAUUAUGAAUGAAAAUGAACCGGAAACGAUCAGGGAAAGGAAGCACCGAAUCAGAAAAUGAAUGAGCUUUCCGAAUCUGUGCAUAUCAAUUGGGGAAAUUGUGUAUUGCGCCCAGGAAAAUUCGGCAAACAUUUUGACGUCUUCGAAAAAUGCCGUUUUUUUGAAAUGUCAGUGUCUUUAUACCGGGGUGAGACGAAAUGAAAUUUGCCCGAUUAUUUUAUUAAAAUUAUUCGAAUAUAUACACGGGUCAGUCGUAAUGAUCUAUUUAAUUUAAAAUAAAAAUUUAGAUAUUAGGUGAGUUUUUACUACUUAGUUUAUUAUUAAUAUAUGUUAACAAUUCUUAAACAUUGCUUUUGGGAUAUAAAUAAAAAAUUUUUGAAAUUAUUGAUUUUUAAGGUUAGUCGAGUAUCAUAACUUUUUUGGUAUUGGUGCGAUUUGGUUGAAAUUUGGUACCUAGUACCUAUUUCGGAUAAGAUUAAUAAAUUUUCACAGAUAUUUGACAU